UGUAUAAUGGGUCAGCGACUUAUAUUCUGUAGCAAGGUUAACCGAAUAGGGGAGCCGAAGGGAAACCGAGUCUUAACUGGGCGUUAAGUUGCAGGGUAUAGACCCGAAACCCGGUGAUCUAGCCAUGGGCAGGUUGAAGGUUGGGUAACACUAACUGGAGGACCGAACCGACUAAUGUUGAAAAAUUAGCGGAUGACUUGUGGCUGGGGGUGAAAGGCCAAUCAAACCGGGAGAUAGCUGGUUCUCCCCGAAAGCUAUUUAGGUAGCGCCUCGUGAAUUCAUCUCCGGGGGUAGAGCACUGUUUCGGCAAGGGGGUCAUCCCGACUUACCAACCCGAUGCAAACUGCGAAUACCGGAGAAUGUUAUCACGGGAGACACACGGCGGGUGCUAACGUCCGUCGUGAAGAGGGAAACAACCCAGACCGCCAGCUAAGGUCCCAAAGUCAUGGUUAAGUGGGAAACGAUGUGGGAAGGCCCAGACAGCCAGGAUGUUGGCUUAGAAGCAGCCAUCAUUUAAAGAAAGCGUAAUAGCUCACUGGUCGAGUCGGCCUGCGCGGAAGAUGUAACGGGGCUAAACCAUGCACCGAAGCUGCGGCAGCGACACUAUGUGUUGUUGGGUAGGGGAGCGUUCUGUAAGCCUGUGAAGGUGGCCUGUGAGGGUUGCUGGAGGUAUCAGAAGUGCGAAUGCUGACAUAAGUAACGAUAAAGCGGGUGAAAAGCCCGCUCGCCGGAAGACCAAGGGUUCCUGUCCAACGUUAAUCGGGGCAGGGUGAGUCGACCCCUAAGGCGAG
rnacentral:rRNA from 1 species